ACCCUCCCCACUGGGCUCCUGGUUGCAGAGCUCCAAGUCCUCACACAGAUACGCCUGUUUGAGAAGCAGCGGGCAAGAAAGACGCAAGCCCAGAGAAAAUCCUCUGCUGGCUCUCUAGUGCCCAGGAUCCAGUCCCAGCAUCUCAGCACGGCCUUCAAGCAUUUCCACGUCCUGGCCUGGCUCCAUGGUCUCCCCGCCAAUUUGCCACCUUCUCCAUGCAUCCUUUUCUGAUCCCCUCCUCACUCAUCCCAGCAAAGAACCCCCUCCUGGCCUGAGCAUAGCAUUUCGUGUGGUGCAAUCUUGGCUCACUGCAACCUCCUCCUCCCUGGUUCAAGUGAUUCUCCUGCCUCAGCUUCCUAAGCACCUGAGACUACAGGCCCUGCCAUUUCUGUGGGCUCAGGUCCCUACUGGCUCAGGCCCCUGCCUCCCUCGGCAAGGCCACAAUGAACCGGGGAGUCCCUUUUAGGCACUUGCUUCUGGUGCUGCAACUGGCGCUCCUCCCAGCAGCCACUCAGGGAAAGAAAGUGGUGCUGGGCAAAAAAGGGGAUACAGUGGAACUGACCUGUACAGCUUCCCAGA
rnacentral:lncRNA from 1 species